UACGUAUGGUGCAAGCGUUAUCCGGAUUUACUGGGUGUAAAGGGAGCGCAGGCGGCACGGCAAGCCUGAUGUGAAAGCCCGCGGCCCAACCGCGGGACUGCAUUGGGAACUACCGGGCUGGAGUGCCGGAGAGGUAGGCGGAAUUCCUAGUGUAGCGGUGAAAUGCGUAGAUAUUAGGAGGAACACCAGUGGCGAAGGCGGCCUACUGGACGGUGACUGACGGUGAGGCGCGAAAGCGUGGGGAGCAAACAGG
rnacentral:rRNA from 1 species